AUUGAACGCUGGCGGCAUGCCUAACACAUGCAAGUCGAACGGCAGCAUGAUGUGUAGCAAUACACAUUGAUGGCGAGUGGCGGACGGGUGAGUAAUACGUAGGAAUCUACCUCAACGUGGGGGAUAACCCGGGGAAACUCGGGCUAAUACCGCAUAAUCUAUACGGAGCAAAGCGGGGGACCGAAAGGCCUCGCGCUGUGCGAUGAGCCUACGUCGGAUUAGCUGGUUGGUGAGGUAAAGGCUCACCAAGGUUAUGAUCCGUAGCUGGGAUGCGAGGACGGCCAUCCACACUGGGACUGCGACACGGCCAAGACUCCUACGGGAGGCAGCAGUGGGGAAUUUUGGAAAAUGGGGGCAACCCUGAUCCAGCAAUGCCGCGUGUGUGAAGAAGGCCUUCGGGUUGUAAAGCACUUUUAGUGGGGAAGAAAAGCUCAUAAUUAAUACUUAUGAGUAUUGACGUUACUCACAGAAAAAGCACCGGCUAACUCUGUGCCAGCCGCCGCCGUAA
rnacentral:rRNA from 1 species